rnacentral:rRNA from 1 species
GACGAACGCUGGCGGCGUGCUUAACACAUGCAAGUCGAACGGAAAGGCCCUGCUUUUGUGGGGUGCUCGAGUGGCGAACGGGUGAGUAACACGUGAGUAACCUGCCCUUGACUUUGGGAUAACUUCAGGAAACUGGGGCUAAUACCGGAUAGGAGCUCCUGCUGCAUGGUGGGGGUUGGAAAGUUUCGGCGGUUGGGGAUGGACUCGCGGCUUAUCAGCUUGUUGGUGGGGUAGUGGCUUACCAAGGCUUUGACGGGUAGCCGGCCUGAGAGGGUGACCGGCCACAUUGGGACUGAGAUACGGACCAGACUCCUACGGGAGGCAGAAGUGGGGAAUAUUGCACAAUGGGCGGAAGCCUGAUGCAGCAACGCCGCGUGCGGGAUGACGGCCUUCGGGUUGUAAACCGCUUUCGCCUGUGACGAAGCGUGAGUGACGGUAAUGAGUAAAGAAGCACCGGCUAACUACGUG